rnacentral:rRNA from 1 species
GACGAACGCUGGCGGCGUGCCUAAUACAUGCAAGUCGAGCGCAGGAAACUGACGGAACUCUUCGGAGGGAAGGCAGCGGAAUGAGCGGCGGACGGGUGAGUAACACGUAAGGAACCUGCCUCAAGGAUUGGGAUAACUCCGAGAAAUCGGAGCUAAUACCGGAUAGUUCAACGGACCGCAUGGUCCGCUGAUGAAAGGCGCUCCGGCGUCACCUUGAGAUGGCCUUGCGGUGCAUUAGCUAGUUGGUGGGGUAACGGCCCACCAAGGCGACGAUGCAUAGCCGACCUGAGAGGGUGAUCGGCCACACUGGGACUGAGACACGGCCCAGACUCCUACGGGAGGCAGCAGUAGGGAAUCUUCCACAAUGGACGAAAGUCUGAUGGAGCAACGCCGCGUGAGUGAUGAAGGUUUUCGGAUCGUAAAACUCUGUUGUAAGGGAAGAACACGUACGAGAGGGAAUGCUCGUACCUUGACGGUACCUUACGAGAAAGCCACGGCUAACUACGUGCCAGCCGCCGCCGUAAUAC